GAAUUUUAUAUAAUAUUUAUUAGAAAGAUAAAUUAAAUAAUUUUAUGUUAAUAUAUAUUAGAUAUUAUAUUUAGUUGGGAGGAUUUUUAAAUUUUAUUAACUUUAAAAUAGUAUAAAAUAAUAAUUAUUAGGAUUUAAGAUUAAUUAAUUAUUAAAUUAUAAUAGAAUUAAUUACCUUAGGGAUAACAGCGUAAUAAUUUUGGAAAGAUCAUAUUGAUAAAAUUGAUUGC
rnacentral:rRNA from 1 species